rnacentral:piRNA from 1 species
UGCCUGUUGUAGGACACAGUCUCCUG